rnacentral:rRNA from 1 species
AUUGAACGCUGGCGGCAGGCUUAACACAUGCAAGUCGAGCGGAGAGAAGUAGCUUGCUACUGAUCUUAGCGGCGGACGGGUGAGUAAUGCUUAGGAAUCUGCCUAUUAGUGGGGGACAACAUUUCGAAAGGAAUGCUAGUACCGCAUACGUCCUACGGGAGAAAGCAGGGGAUCUUCGGACCUCGCGCUAAUAGAUGAGCCUAAGUCGGAUUAGCUAGUUGGUGGGGUAAAGGCCUACCAAGGCGACGAUCUGUAGCGGGUCUGAGAGGAUGAUCCGCCACACUGGGACUGAGACACGGCCCAGACUCCUACGGGAGGCAGCAGUGGGGAAUAUUGGACAAUGGGUGGAAGCCUGAUCCAGCCAUGCCGCGUGUGUGAAGAAGGCCUUAUGGUUGUAAAGCACUUUAAGCGAGGAGGAGGCUACUUUAGUUAAUACCUAGAGAUAGUGGACGUUACUCGCAGAAUAAGCACCGGCUAACUCUGUGCCAGCCGCCGCGGUAAAAC